rnacentral:rRNA from 1 species
AGGACGAACGCUGGCGGCGUGCCUAACACAUGCAAGUCGAGCGAGGAGAUUCCUCGGGAUGAUCCUAGCGGCGGACGGGUGAGUAACACGUGGGCAACCUGCCUCAUAGAGAGGAAUAGCCUUCCGAAAGGGAGAUUAAUACCUCAUAACAUUGCAGUUUCGCAUGGAACAGCAAUUAAAGGAGUAAUCCGCUAUGAGAUGGGCCCCGCGGCGCAUUAGCUAGUUGGUGAGGUAACGGCUCACCAAGGCGACGAUGCGUAGCCGACCUGAGAGGGUGAUCGGCCACAUUGGGACUGAGACACGGCCCAGACUCCUACGGGAGGCAGCAGUGGGGAAUAUUGCACAAUGGGGGAAACCCUGAUGCAAGCAACGCCGCGUGAGUGAUGACGGCCUUCGGGUUGUAAAGCUCUGUCUUCAGGGACGAUAAUGACGGUACCUGAGGAGGAAGCCACGGCUAACUACGUGCCAGCCGCAGC